rnacentral:rRNA from 1 species
UACGAAGGUGGCAAGCGUUGUUCGGAUUUACUGGGCGUACAGGGAGCGUAGGCGGUUGGAUAAGCCCUCCGUGAAAUCUCCAGGCUUAACCUGGAAAGUGCAGAGGGGACUGUUCAGCUAGAGGAUGGGAGAGGAGCGGCGGAAUUCCGGUGUAGCGGUAGAAAUGCGUAGAGAGUCGGGAGGAACACCAGUAGCGAAGGCGGCACUCUGGGCCGGUACUGACGCUGAGGAGCGAAAGCG